GAACAUAUAGCUCAGUGGUAGAGCACAUGCUUAGCAUGCACGAGGUCCUGGGUUCAAUCCCCAGUACCUCCA
rnacentral:tRNA from 1 species